UACGGAGGGUGCGAGCGUUGUCCGGAAUCACUGGGCGUAAAGGGCGCGUAGGUGGCGCGGGAAGUCAACGGUGAAAGUUCGGGGCUCAACCCUGAAUCGGCCGUCGAUACUCCCGGGCUCGAGCACUGUAGAGGCAGAUGGAAUUCCGGGUGUAGCGGUGGAAUGCGUAGGGAUCCGGAAGAACACCGGUGGCGAAGGCGGUCUGCUGGGCAGUUGCUGACACUGAGGCGCGACAGCGUGGGGAGCAAACAGG
rnacentral:rRNA from 1 species